AACGCACAUUGCGCCCUUUGGUAUUCCGAGGGGCAUGCCUGUCCGAGCGUCGUUGCACCUCUCAAGCAAAGCUUGGUACUGGGGCUCGCCCACCGCGGCGUCCCCGAAAAGCAGUGGCGGUCCGGCGAGACUUGAAGCGUAGUAGAAAUUACCCCCCGCUUUGCAGAUCUCCGCCGGUGCCCUGGCCAACCAAUCCGUGCCUCCGGCACCUUUUUCUAAUGGUUGACCUCGGAUCAGGUAGGGAUACCCGCUGAACUUAA
rnacentral:misc_RNA from 1 species